ACGGGAGGCAGCAGUGAGGAAUAUUGGUCAAUGGACGAGAGUCUGAACCAGCCAAGUAGCGUGCAGGAUGACGGCCCUAUGGGUUGUAAACUGCUUUUGUAUGGGAAUAAAGUGAGGGUCGUGACCCUUUUUGUAUGUACCUUACGAAUAAGCAUCGGCUAAUUCCGUGCCAGCAGCCGCGGUAAUACGGAAGAUGCGAGCGUUAUCCGGAUUUAUUGGGUUUAAAGGGAGCGUAGGCGGACCUUUAAGUCUGUGGUCAAAUGUCAGGGCCCAACCUUGUCAUGCCAUGGAAACUGUAGGUCUUGAAUACACACAAGGAAGGUGGAAUUCGUCGUGUAGCGGUGAAAUGCUUAGAUAUGACGAAGAACUCCGAUUGCGAAGGCAGCCUUCUGGAGUGCGAUUGACGCUGAGGCUCGAAAGUGCGGGUAUCAAACAGGAUUAGAUACCCUGGUA
rnacentral:rRNA from 1 species